AUUGAACGCUGGCGGCAGGCUUAACACAUGCAAGUCGAGCGGAGAUGAGGUGCUUGCACCUUAUCUUAGCGGCGGACGGGUGAGUAAUGCUUAGGAAUCUACCUAUUAGUGGGGGACAACAUUCCGAAAGGAAUGCUAAUACCGCAUACGUCCUACGGGAGAAAGCAGGGGAUCUUCGGACCUUGCGCUAAUAGAUGAGCCUAAGUCGGAUUAGCUAGUUGGUGGGGUAAAGGCCUACCAAGGCGACGAUCUGAAGCGGGUCUGAGAGGAUGAUCCGCCACACUGGGACUGAGACACGGCCCAGACUCCUACGGGAGGCAGCAGUGGGGAAUAUUGGACAAUGGGGGGAACCCUGAUCCAGCCAUGCCGCGUGUGUGAAGAAGGCCUUAUGGUUGUAAAGCACUUUAAGCGAGGAGGAGGCUACUGAGACUAAUACUCUUGGAUAGUGGACGUUACUCGCAGAAUAAGCACCGGCUAACUCUGUGCCAGCCGCCGCAGUAA
rnacentral:rRNA from 1 species